GCAAAGGGAAGAAAAGUGAACUUCUAUGCAUCUUCUGUCCUCUUCGAUCAAAAACCUGCAGGGAGCUGAACACGGACUGUGGACUGACUCGAAGCAAAUCUGUGACAAACUGACAAACUGUUCAGGAUUUUUCCUUUAACUUCUGGUUGAUUUUCUGUCUUUUCUUUUGUACCUGAUUCCGUUUACCUCCCGGUGUGGAAACCUCUGCAGAGUUCAGGCGUGGAGGAAGCAUUUUGAUACAUAACAGACCUCAUCUUUUUAAAAGAAAGUAAGAUAUUUUCAGGCAUAUUUUUGUACAGUCGAAAGGGAAUGUUCUUACUGUGCUUUCAGUGAGUUUCAGGCACUUGUUCCCUUUAUCAUUUGUUUUUUUAGCAUGCAAGGGAGUCCUGGUUUUAAGGAUUAAGUUAAAUUAAAACUUGCAUCAAAAAUGCCUUGUGAUUUUAAACUAGGUUUUGUACAGUUGUAGAGCAGAUUUGUUGAGUAUUUGUAGACAUACAAUGGCGUCUUGGGGGAGACAUACCUCAGAGCUGGAACUAGUUUCAAGAUUGUAUAUGUACUGUAAUAUAGUAAAGUUAGGAGUUUAUGUAUAUCAUACUCGUGAUAUGUGGAUGGGUCCCGAUCGCAGGUGUGAAACUGGAUUUUGGUAUUUUUUAUGGCACAUACUGUUUUUCCCCCUUUCUCAUUUUUUUGUGCAAUAUAUCCUCUGAAGACACAGACCAUCAACAAUUGUAGCAAAGUGAUGGAGGAACAGACUCGUGCACUGUCAACAUCAUUUCAUGUUAUGAUGCUGAAGCCUGUCCAGGCAGGAGAAUAAACGAAUCAGCUGGAACUGAUACCAAACCGUCCCACAUGGCCUCCUGGUGUGAUCCAUACAGUCCAAACAGAUCCA